rnacentral:rRNA from 1 species
UUUCGAUGCAACGCGAAGAACCUUACCUGGUCUUGACAUCCCGGAGACCCUUAGGAAACUAGGGGUGCUUCCAUCUGGAAGAAUCUGGAGACAGGUGCUGCAUGGCUGUCGUCAGCUCGUGUCGUGAGAUGUUGGGUUAAGUCCCGCAACGAGCGCAACCCUUGCCUUUAGUUGCCAGCAGUUCGGCUGGGCACUCUAAAGGGACUGCCGGUGUUAAACCGGAGGAAGGUGGGGAUGACGUCAAGUCCUCAUGGCCCUUACGGCCUGGGCUACACACGUGCUACAAUGGUCGGUACAAAGGGUUGCCAAGCCGCGAGGUGGAGCUAAUCCCAUAAAACCGAUCGUAGUCCGGAUCGCAGUCUGCAACUCGACCGCGUGAAGUCGGAAUCGCUAGUAAUCGUGAAUCAGAAUGUCACGGUGAAUACGUUCCCGGGCCUU